rnacentral:rRNA from 1 species
CCUACGGGUGGCUGCAGUGAGGAAUAUUGGUCAAUGGUCGGGAGACUGAACCAGCCAAGCCGCGUGAGGGAUGAAGGUACAGAGUAUCGUAAACCUCUUUUGUCAGGGAACAAAGGCGGGGACGUGUCCCCGGAUGAGUGUACCUGAAGAAAAAGCAUCGGCUAACUCCGUGCCAGCAGCCGCGGUAAUACGGAGGAUGCGAGCGUUAUCCGGAUUUAUUGGGUUUAAAGGGUGCGCAGGCGGUCUGUUAAGUCAGCGGUCAAAGCCCGGGGCUCAACCCCGUCGUGCCGUUGAAACUGAUGGUCUUGAGUGGGCGAGAAGUAUGCGGAAUGCGUGGUGUAGCGGUGAAAUGCAUAGAUAUCACGCAGAACUCCGAUUGCGAAGGCAGCAUACCGGCGCCCAACUGACGCUGAAGCACGAAAGCGUGGGUAUCGAACAGGAUUAGAUACCCCGGUAGUC